UACGGGGGGGGCAAGCGUUGUUCGGAAUUACUGGGCGUAAAGGGCUCGUAGGUGGCCAACUAAGUCAGACGUGAAAUCCCCAGGCUCAACUUGGGAACUGCGUCUGAUACUGGAUGGCUUGAAUUCGGGAGAGGGAUGCAGAAUUCCAGGUGUAGCGGUGAAAUGCGUAGAUAUCUGGAGGAAUACCGGUGGCGAAGGCGGCAUCCUGGACCGAGAUUGACGCUGAAAACCGAAAGCUAGGGGAGCAAACGGG
rnacentral:rRNA from 1 species